rnacentral:lncRNA from 1 species
GGAGGAUUCAAAGUGGUCAAAGGCGUGGUGGAGGGCGUGGAUGGGGGGAUCGCAUACAGGCGAUGCCCCACUCUGUAUAGCUGGCUCCGAGGUGAAGGGGACCGGGUCCAGCCGGCGGAGGGGUCGGGAGUGUGUGGGAUACCGGUGUUCGACGGUGCCACGGGUGACGGGGCCGUUUGUGUGGGGGUCGCUGCCGGGACGCUUGACCGGCGCCUUUCGGAGCGUGGGAGGGACGUGGUGCUGGGCAGGACAUCAACGGCGUUGGCGGCAGCGGCCUGUGGAGGAGACGUGUCGGUCGAUUGGAGGGCGGCAGGGGUGGUUGGGCCUUUGAAGAGGGAGAGGCGCGCAGUUUUGGCGGAAGCCGUGGAGAUGUAUGAAAGCG